CCUACGGGAGGCUGCAGUGGGGAAUCUUGCGCAAUGGGCGAAAGCCUGACGCAGCCAUGCCGCGUGAAUGAUGAAGGUCUUAGGAUUGUAAAAUUCUUUCACCGGGGACGAUAAUGACGGUACCCGGAGAAGAAGCCCCGGCUAACUUCGUGCCAGCAGCCGCGGUAAUACGAAGGGGGCUAGCGUUGCUCGGAAUUACUGGGCGUAAAGGGAGCGUAGGCGGACAUUUAAGUCAGGGGUGAAAUCCCGGGGCUCAACCUCGGAAUUGCCUUUGAUACUGGGUGUCUUGAGUAUGAGAGAGGUGUGUGGAACUCCGAGUGUAGAGGUGAAAUUCGUAGAUAUUCGGAAGAACACCAGUGGCGAAGGCGACACACUGGCUCAUUACUGACGCUGAGGCUCGAAAGCGUGGGGAGCAAACAGGAUUAGAUACCCUUGUAGUCGAAUUCUU
rnacentral:rRNA from 1 species